UACGUAGGUGGCAAGCGUUAUCCGGAAUUAUUGGGCGUAAAGCGCGCGCAGGCGGUUUCUUAAGUCUGAUGUGAAAGCCCACGGCUCAACCGUGGAGGGUCAUUGGAAACUGGGGAACUUGAGUGCAGGAGAGAAAAGCGGAAUUCCACGUGCAGCGGUGAAAUGCGUAGAGAUGUGGAGGAACACCAGUGGCGAAGGCGGCAUCCUGGACCGGUAUUGACGCUGAGGCGCGAAAGCCAGGGGAGCAAACGGG
rnacentral:rRNA from 1 species